GGCAAGAAGAAAGUGAGUUCCGCCUCUUUCUUGGGCGACUGGGUACUUCCGUUGACAAAAGGUGACGUGAGUUCCUUUCAGCGUUUAGACGCUAGAACUACCACCGAGCCAGACUCGGGUAGACGGUACGUUGACCAAAGUCACCACACUUGGCAUGGAGCUUGCUGAAGUGAAAAGAGAAGUGAAGAGCUUGCUGAGAAGCUUUUAAUCUGAGAAGGUUUCAUCUGACAUCCCUCAGUUUCUCCAAAAUUCACUGGCACAAGAAUCCUUACCUCAGACUCUGCUUCUUGAGAAACUGACAUGAGAUAGUAAAAUAUUUGAUGUUAAAACAGUUAUGCAAAGAAGACAAGACAAAAAGAUCAAUAAUAAAAGCAAAAACAAUAACCAAAAGGAAGGACUAGAUUUUUCCUCCUUUCAGGACAACCUCUUCUUAUCCAAAACAUGUGAUAAAAAUGACAGUUUUUUAAGUGAGAUCUAACAAGUCAGCCAAAAUAAUUAGAAACUCAAAGGAAGACUAUUUGGGACUUCCCUGGUGGUACAACUGUACCAACUUCCAGUGCAGGGGACAUGUGUCUAAUCCCUGGUCUGGGAAGAUUACAUGUACUGUGGAGCAGCUAAGCCUGUACACCACAACUACUGAGCCCCUGCUCCAGAGCCUACAAGUCUCAACUACUGAGCCUGCACUCCAGAGCUACUAAAGCCCGUGCACCCAGAGCCUGUGCUCAACAAGAGAAGCCACUGCAAUGAGAGGCCCAUGCACUGCAAUGAAAGAAUAGCCUCUGCCUGCCACAACUAGAGAAAGCCUGCACACAGCAG
ensembl:lncRNA